GAGGGGCAGCAGGGUGGCCAUAUUUGUAAUCAGAUCAGAAUGCCUUGAACAAACUUUGGUGUCCUCAUGGGUAGGAACAUGCACACCAAGUUUCAGCUCCAUUGGUCCAGCAGUUUCGGAGAAGAUGUUUACACACCAAGACAACGGACAGACAACCCACGGCAUAAGCCCACC